GGAUUAUAGCUCGGUGGUACAGUGCAUGCUUAACAUGCAUGAGGUCUGAGUUCAACCCCCAGUACCUCCA
rnacentral:tRNA from 1 species